UUCCUUCUAUAAUAACUUUGCUUUCCCCAAUUCUCUGCCUCUCCCUCAGUCAACAGAUCAUCUCCUAUCUCUCUCUCUCUCUCUCUCUCUCCCUCCCCCCCUCUGCACGCAAUAGCGACAGGGCAGCCUCCACAACAGCUUCGCCUCAGACACACCGAUGGUGUGAUUCAGUUUCCUCCGCCGCCGAUCCAUCCUUUUUCAACCGCCCCAACGCGUGCUGGAAGAAUUUCAUUUGAGCUAUUGAGAGAUAAGGAUUGAACUCCGAGGCUAUAGACUUGGCAGAUCUUGAGCCAUGACUAUGGUGGAGGACAAAGAGCAGACCAGGGUCAGAUCAGCGGGCUCACUGUCUACUGAUUAUGCUACCAUAGUUCCCAUCAAGAAACGGAGGUUCCCGAUUGUUCGGCCUCCAUCGCCUCCACCGGAUGAGUCAUGUCCAACACUGGAGUCUGAUGAAAAACGAAAGGAGAGCACCUCUGCAUCUCAGGGAUCUGCUGUCUUGAAUAACACUAUGGACGAAGGUAAACUGGAGAGGUCAGCAAUCCCACAGGGAGCAGGUGCUAGUUCGGCAUCUCAACAGGGUGAAGAGGCUUCUGCCAAUCAAAAGAAUCUGGAAUCCUUGUCUGUCAAGCUGGCAUUAGCCAAUGGAGAAAGCGGCUUUGACUGCUCUAAUGGUGCAAGGAAAUCAGAGAGUGAGGGCACUGAUCUCUGCAUGAACCGGUCAAAUUGGGAUUUGAAUACAACAAUGGAUGCCUGGGAAGGCUCUGCUAGUGAUGCUACUUCGAUCAGCACAGAGUCACUUCACGACACAAUUACUGCAACCGGUAACAGAAUUGAUAUCAAACCUCUGGGAGGUCCCUCUGAGAUCUCUCGUGUCAAUACUUUAGGGGAACAGACUGCUGCAGAGCGUCAACUUAGAGAAGCUGGUGCAGCAUCUUCUGCGCCCUCCGCGAACCCACAAACAUAUGAGGACUCUCUUAAAUUGGGUCUCCACAUAUCAUUUCCAUCAAACUUAAGUCGAGGGUCACCGUAUUUAUCUCCUGUUACUGAUCCGAACACAAUCUUUUCAAGACUCUUAUUAGCCAGCAGCUCAUGCAGUGUAGCUCCUGUGACUGUGAAAUCAGAACCACUUGAAGAGGCUCCAAAACAGGCUUCUCUGGGCGCUGGAUUGGGUAAUUCGAGAUCCUUAGGUGGACAAGUGGUGAAGCAUGAAACUGUCAAUAAGGGUGGGCACGAGAUUUCCCAGAAAUCAGAUUAUAGCACUUUGGGGUUGUUUAAUUCUAGAUCUGUAUCUGUGAAGCCUGAGCCAGCUUGUGAGGGAUUGCCAACAACACUAAAGACAAAUGAAGAAACAUCGCACAGAUUGGGGCAGAUAUCACUAGGUAUGCAAAAUGAUUCCUGCACCAAGGUAACAGAGUCUGUGCCAAUAAAUUGUCUCUUGGCGAAUAAUUCAAUCAGCAAUCGCCCUGAAGAUGGUUGUCUUGAUAGUGACCUGCCUGUGACUCAAAAAGCAUCUGAAAAUGUUGAGAAGAUUGCUACAGGAAUUACAGAAGCAAAUGAAGCCGCCAAGCACGACAAUGUGGAGAAAUCUGAAGCAAAAUUGAUGAAUGAACUUCAUUCCAGUUCAAAGGUUGAUGUCAAAGACUGUGCCAUUGAUAAAGAAAAGUUAGAUGUGUCAGCCAGUGUUAUGGAAGAUCAUUCUGAUUAUGGAUACGAGUCAAUUGGUAAUCACCCUUCAACUGCAGGCGCAGAAAAAGAAAUUGUUGAUAGAGAAGAAAAUGAGUAUGAAGAUGGGGAGGUCCAGGAUCAACUUGUGGCUGAUGGACAUGCUGAACCUAUGAAUGCAACUCCAGUGGAAAAUGUUAAUAAGGCUGAAGGUGAGCCUGAUAAUAUGGAAUUUGCAGGGAAUUCCAGUUAUCAAUGUGCAGAUUCUUCAUCUCAGAAGAAAGAAGACACUGAAAUGCAGCACCUUAGUGAGAUGGAGGAUACUCUUCUUGAUGAUAAGGGCCAAGUGACCGCUGGUUUAGAGACGCAUCUGGAAGAUUUGUCUGACUUUGAAUUAGACUCUGACACCACUGGAUUGGCAACUGUUGCUCAGGAAACAAUUGUCCCGCCUGCUGAUGAAAAUCUAAUUAAAGACCCGAACAUUGCAAGCUUUUCUGAUGAAGCUACACUCCCUGGGCAUGAGCUUUCUGGGGCUUUUGCUCAUGACAUGGAUGCUGAUAAGACUGAGAAUAAUGUGUCUAAUGCUGAUGCUGAAAAGAAUGAUUCAAUUUUGCCCAAGGCUGAAUCAUCUGUAAAUAGCGAUGCUGUAGGUAGAGAUUCUAACACAGAGAGUAAUAGGAGCCGGAUUAUAAACUUAUCUACCACUUUUAAUGUGUCGUCUCCAGGUAAAACAAGUUCUGCUUCUGAUAGGUCUAUGCCCUUGCAUGAUGGAAGAAAGAGAUUGCCUAAUGUUGCACUUGAAGGAGAUAAGAUGCAUCUUCGAGGGAGGGAUGAAGUUGGUAAUGCUGAUUUCCAUAGAUUUUCCAGAGAGAGGAAUCGAGACAUGUUCUCUCGGAAUCCUAGAUCAGGAUUUGCACGCGAUAGAGGAAGGGUUCCAAGUAACAUGUGUGCUGACUGGGAAUCUGAGCAGGAUUUUGGUUCAGAAAUGCAUGAUGGACCAGUGGAGUUCCGUGCUACCCGAUACAGAUAUAAUUCAGAGUACAGGAACUAUAAUGUUGCACCUGAGGAUGGCUUUGUUGGUACUGGGUGGGGUGGGCGUAAACUAUUGAAUGACAACUCACCGAACUUUCACGGUCCGCACUCUAUGAGACGGGCACAUGGAGGUAGAGAUGGCCCUGCAACACGUGGACCACAUAUGGUGGGUAGAGUACCGCGGAAUAUGAGCCCAAGUAGAUGCCUUGGCAUGGAUGAUACUGAAUUGGUCGGAGUAAGGCAUGGUUUUGUUCGGCGGGAGAGGAAUAUCGGGUCAUUCAGUGGAAAGGGUCUUCAUCGCAUUCAUUCGAAGUCUCCUGUAAGAUUAAGAAGUCGUUCUCCUGUACAGUGGUCUCCUAGGAGGAGAUCACCUGAAGGAUUUGUUCGCCACCCAGAAAUGGCGCCUAGAAGGUCUCCUCCAAUUUAUAGGAGAGAAAGAAUGGGAUCACCAGAUCGCUCUUGCUUCCGUGGUGAGGUGAUGAUGAGGCGACCAAAUUCUCCACCUUAUAUAUCUCGUCCAUUAGAUGAUAUGAGGGAGAUGAACUCUGGAAGAGACCAUGGCUUUUCUAGGCCAAUGAUGCACUCUGGAAACUCAUCUAGUCGGGUUUCACUCAGAACUCGGAGAUAUGAUAUGGUGAAUUCUCGAGAAAGAGCUCAUGGAGAGUACUUUAGGGUUCCCAUGCGUGGUGCGCGGUUCCAUGAACUCUCUGGAGAUGAAAACACUGAUGAGAGAAGACGGCUGAACGAGAAACGAGGACCUGUUAGGCACUUUAGGCCUCCUUGUGGUUCCGACAAUAAAGGCUUUACUUACAAUAGUGACGAUAGCUCUCGGACAUAUCGGCUUUGCCCAGAAGAUGAUUCAGUCUAUCAUGAAGGCAGAAACUCAAGGGAGAGACAGUUGGAGAGGCAUCCGAAAAAUGAACCUGGGGAUGCUCAUAAAACAAGAAAAAUCGAGGAUCAAGAAGGGAGCUUCAGACAUGGAGUGAGUGAAGAGUUCGAUGACAUGCCAAGAUACAAAAGAGAGAGGUUCUGAUCAUGUUUCUUGCGAGCUUAAUAUUGAAGAUGGCCUGUUUUAGUGAGGUGUACAGAAAAUUAAGAGCCUUUGCAUUUCUUUUAGAAGAUUGAUAUCUUUACUUAGUGGUGUAAGUUACUGAAGAAAGCGGGUCUAUAUACUGCUCAACUGCAGAUCUUUAGGUCCAGACAUUGAAUGAUUUCUGUUGCAACUUCUCUGAUGAGAUGGGACUGUGGAAAUACAUGAAGGGUCAUUUUAUAAGAAGCUAGACACCUGUUAAAGCAUUUCAUGUCGUCAAUUUGACGGAGCAUGUACUUUAUUGAACCGGACGGGAAAUAUGGAGCAGAAGACUAACAGUAAUAAGUAAGUGCCUUGGCUAGUAUUUGGCUAUUUUCUUGUUACCAUGAAAACUCGAGAUCGAGAUUGGUCCAAUGUAAAGACGAUGCAAAACAUGUAUACAGCUAUGAAAGAGUAUCGUGGAUUGCUUCUUUGGACUCCCCUGUGUUUUAUCAACCCGGAUGUGACUCCGAUGACCUUUGCCAUAAUGAUGCCCCUCGCUUUUGGAAGAUGUGCUGACUCUCUCGAAGAGUUGCUUCUUGCAAGCUGAAGAUAUGAAUGUUUAGAACCCUGCGGAGACGCUCUAGUGCUAGGCAGGAAGUGCUUUUGGUCUCACUGCUUUUACUGGUCCUGCCACUCAUUGUUGAACAGCUUAUCUGCUUCAGGUGUAUUCUGCUUCGAGGAAUUGGCUGAUGUUUAUUCUGCUUGAUCUGCAAUUUUCUAAUGGGCACCUCUGCGGAGUUGUUUCAUUUCCUCCUGCUGUUAUAGUUCCAAGUACUGAAGUAACUGAACUAUGGUCGGCCUUACAGUUGCUUGGAGGCUCUUGUACAUCCAUUUACUGCGGAUCAUCUGGGAUUGUCAUUAACCAGUCCUUGACUCGAGUAUUCGAAGCUCCAAUGAUCUAUGAUUGUCAUCUCCUUGACAUGUCUGACUUUGGAUAGUACCCCUUAACCUACCUGGCUGGGUCAUCCUUGGAUCUUCCUAGGAGCAAUCUGCAGUUUUAAGUUAAAAAGUAUAGAGCAGUAGAUGAACGUGGAGUUCGACAUUGUCGGAAUGUGCUUGGUGAAAGGAUGAGGCGUAGUCCUUGGCAAGGACACAAAAUGAUUUAUUUCCCUUUGUCAUCUGAUGACACUUUUGCCAAGGUUUCAGUUCAGAGACCCCGAGGGGACCUCUCAUUAGUAUAAUAUACUUCUGCACUGUUAAGUGGCCUAAAUUUUGGAGGGCCAAUAUACCAAUAAAAAACAAUGCCAUUUCAAUCUGCA